CACGUAGGGAGCAAGCGUUGUCCGGAUUUAUUGGGCGUAAAGAGCUCGUAGGUGGUUCGGUAAGUCAGGUGUGAAACCUCCAGGCUCAACCUGGAGACGCCACUUGAUACUGCUGUGACUGGAGUCCGGUAGGGGAGCGUGGAAUUCCUGGUGUAGCGGUGAAAUGCGCAGAUAUCAGGAGGAACACCGGUGGCGAAGGCGGGUCUCUGGACAGUUCCUGACGCUGAGGCACGAAGGCCAGGGGAGCAAACGGG
rnacentral:rRNA from 1 species